UACGUAGGCAGCAAGCGUUGUUCGGAGUUACUGGGCGUAAAGGGUGCGUAGGUGGCUCUAUAAGUAUGGUGUGAAAUCUCCCGGCUCAACUGGGAGGGUGCGCCGAAAACUGGAAUGCUUGAACAUGGGAGAGGAAAGCGGAAUUCCUGGUGUAGCGGUGAAAUGCGUAGAUAUCAGGAGGAACACCUGCGGUGUAGACGGCUUUCUGGACCAUUGUUGACGCUGAGACACGAAAGCGUGGGUAGCAAACAGG
rnacentral:rRNA from 1 species